CCUACGGGGGGCAGCAGUCGAGAAUCAUUCACAAUGGGGGAAACCCUGAUGGUGCGACGCCGCGUGGGGGAAUGAAGGUCUUCGGAUUGUAAACCCCUGUCAUGUGGGAGCAAAUUAAAAAGAUAGUACCACAAGAGGAAGAGACGGCUAACUCUGUUCCAGCAACCGCGGUAAUACAGAGGUCUCAAGCGUUGUUCGGAAUCACUGGGCUUAAAGCGUGCGUAGGCUGUUUCGUAAGUCGUGUGUGAAAGGCGCGGGCUCAACCCGCGGACGGCACAUGAUACUGCGAGACUAGAGUAAUGGAGGGGGAACCGGAAUGCUCGGUGUAGCAGUGAAAUGCGUAGAGAUCGAGAGGAACACUCGUGGCGAAGGCGGGUUCCUGGACAUUAACUGACGCUGAGGCACGAAGGCCAGGGGAGCGAAAGGGAUUAGAUACCCUAGUAGUC
rnacentral:rRNA from 1 species